GACCUUCCGGGAGCUUGCACAGGUGCUGCAUGGCUGUCGUCAGCUCGUGUCGUGAGAUGUCGGUUAAGUCCGCCAACGAGCGCAACCCUCGCUGUGUGUUAUAUGUGUCACACGGGACUGCCGGUCUUAAGCCGGAGGAAGGUGGGGAUGAUGUCAAGUCAGCAUGGCCUUUAUAUCCUGGGCUACACACACGCUACAAUGGCCAACACAAUAGGUUGCUAAGCCGCGAGGUGGCGCCAAUCCAUAAAGUUGGUCUCAGUUCAGAUUGUAGGCUGCAACCCGCCUGCAUGAAGAUGGAGUUGCUAGUAACCGCAGGUCAGCUAUACUGCGGUGAAUACGUUCCCGGGCUU
rnacentral:rRNA from 1 species